rnacentral:misc_RNA from 1 species
CUGAGUUGCAAAACUCCCACCAUUGUGAACCUACCUAGACUGUUGCUUCGGCGGGGGGCACUGCCCUGCUUUCCUCUGGGAAGCACCCGCCGGAGGCAUUUAACUCUGUAUUUAUUGGCUUCUCUGAGUAACUUAUUUAAAUAAGUCA